rnacentral:rRNA from 2 species
CCCGUAAUCCGGGUUGCGGACAGUGUCUGGUGGGUAGUUUGACUGGGGCGGUCUCCUCCUAAAGAGUAACGGAGGAGCACGAAGGUUGGCUAAUCCUGGUCGGACAUCAGGAGGUUAGUGCAAUGGCAUAAGCCAGCUUGACUGCGAGCGUGACGGCGCGAGCAGGUGCGAAAGCAGGUCAUAGUGAUCCGGUGGUUCUGAAUGGAAGGGCCAUCGCUCAACGGAUAAAAGGUACUCCGGGGAUAACAGGCUGAUACCGCCCAAGAGUUCAUAUCGACGGCGGUGUUUGGCACCUCGAUGUCGGCUCAUCACAUCCUGGGGCUGAAGUAGGUCCCAAGGGUAUGGCUGUUCGCCAUUUAAAGUGGUACGCGAGCUGGGUUUAGAACGUCGUGAGACAGUUCGGUCCCUAUCUGCCGUGGGCGCUGGAGAACUGAGGGGGGCUGCUCCUAGUACGAGAGGACCGGAGUGGACGCAUCACUGGUGUUCGGGUUGUCAUGCCAAUGGCACUGCCCGGUAGCUAAAUGCGGAAGAGAUAAGUGCUGAAAGCAUCUAAGCACGAAACUUGCCCCGAGAUGAGUUCUCCCUGAGACUUAGAGUCUCCUGAAGGAACGUUGAAGACGACGACGUUGAUAGGCCGGGUGUGUAAGCGCAGCGAUGCGUUGAGCUAACCGGUACUAAUGAACCGUGAGGCUUAACCUUAC